rnacentral:rRNA from 1 species
ACUCAUUUUGACGUUUAGCUGCAGAAGAAGCACCGGCUAACUCCGUGCCAGCAGCCGCGGUAAUACGGAGGGUGCGAGCGUUAAUCGGAAUUACUGGGCGUAAAGCGCAUGCAGGUGGUUUGUUAAGUCAGAUGUGAAAGCCCGGGGCUCAACCUCGGAAUUGCAUUUUGAAACUGGCAAACUAGAGUACUGUAGAGGGGGUAGAAUUUCAGGUGUAGCGGUGAAAAUGCGUAGAGAUCUGAAGGAAUACCGGUGGCGAAGGCGGCCCCCUGGACAGAUACUGACACUCAGAUGCGAAAGCGUGGGGAGCAAAACAGGAUUAGAUACCCUGGUAG